CCAGCCACACUGGAACUGAGACACGGUCCAGACUCCUACGGGAGGCAGCAGUGGGGAAUAUUGCACAAUGGGCGCAAGCCUGAUGCAGCCAUGCCGCGUGUAUGAAGAAGGCCUUCGGGUUGUAAAGUACUUUCAGCGGGGAGGAAGGGAGUAAAGUUAAUACCUUGCUCAUGAC
rnacentral:rRNA from 1 species